GAGCUUCUUCAAGACCGGCAAUGCAGCCAAUCUUAAGCCAGCUAUAGCUAAGGCCACUUCCGCCAUCGGAUUGUAAUUGUAGGACUGUUCCUCUUCUGCCGAGGGCACUAUUCUGAAAGAGAGUUUAAGAGGUUGUUUAUAGAGGACAGUAAGAGAACAAAUUCUAUCCAUAAAGAUACAUAAUGAUGAAACACCUAGUAUGGAGAUGACCAAGUAAAAUGGGAAAAUAGGAGCGAAAGCUAUAAAGAAAAAUUUCCCCUCUUCUCCUUGUUUUUUCUUGGUGUGGACUGUGGAAUGGCUUGAAUAAAUCUAAAGACGAGCACUGGAAUUGUUGGACGUGUGAUUGAUGAAAAACAUGUUGGAGUGCAAAAUGAGGAGAUAAAUUAGUCGACUGCAAUGGAGAUAGGGAAACCUACUGGCAGAUUCGUAGACAAUGGAACAAACUAAGAAUACUACUUUUAGCAUGGGAAAUUACCUGAAUAAAUGAUAGACGAGCAAUGAAAGUGCUUCUAGAUUGGAGGUAGUAGAAACAACCAGUGAAUAUAACAGUGGAUAGAAAACCUGUUGGAGUAGAAAAUCACGGACUAAAUUAGCCGGUUGCAGCAACAGAGAAAAUAAACAGAACCCUACAUCCAGAUUUGAUGAGGAAAACAGAGGAGCAUAGUGGUGAGCUUACACAGUUGAAGGAAUGAGGGACAGCUUUGUAGGAGCGAUGAGUCAAGGUUCAGCGAGAGGCAGAUAGUAGGUGUGAUCCAGCUACUUGAGAGGAUGCUGAAAUUCCCACCAAGC
rnacentral:lncRNA from 1 species